GUGAACUUUAUGAUCCUGGGUGCCCCCCAGCGGUAUUGUAUUCCCGCUUGUCUCAGGCUGCUGGUGAGGUUGUACAUCGUUUUUCGCCAUUGCAGUGUUGCUCUUGUCAGGUCUUGGAAGAAGAGCAGUUGUGCAUUCUCGAAUGCCAGGGGUGUCUUGCCUUUCACCGCAUUCAUUAUAGUGAUUCUAUCCUGUGUCGUGGCGCAGCAUAGGAUGAUGUCUCGUGCUUCUGUGGGUGGUGAGUUGGGUCCUGCUGGCAGUCGGUAUGAGCACUCCAGUGUGAUUUUCCGGGCAGCUGCUGGUGGCAGGAUUGUGGCUAGGAGCCUCCUUAGGAAAUGAGGCUGUUCAGCCUGUGUGAUCGCCGCGGGCACCCCUCGGAGCUUGAUGUGGUUACGACGCAGGCGGUCCCCUUGGGUGGAGACCUGCAC